rnacentral:rRNA from 1 species
AAAUUGAAGAGUUUGAUCAUGGCUCAGAUUGAACGCUGGCGGCAGGCCUAACACAUGCAAGUCGAACGGUAACAGGAAACAGCUUGCUGUUUCGCUGACGAGUGGCGGACGGGUGAGUAAUGUCUGGGAAACUGCCUGAUGGAGGGGGGUAACUACUGGAAACGGUAGCUAAUACCGCAUAA